CGGCAAUGGACGCAAGUCUGACCGAGCGACGCCGCGUGCGGGAUGAAGGCCCUUGGGUUGUAAACCGCUGUCAGAGGGGAUGAAAUGCGAGAGGGCUAUCCCUCUCGUUUGACAGAGCCUCAGAGGAAGCACGGGCUAAGUACGUGCCAGCAGCCGCGGUAACACGUACUGUGCGAACGUUAUUCGGAAUCACUGGGCUUAAAGGGUGCGUAGGCGGUUUAGUAAGUAGGGUGUGAAAUGCCAGAGCUCAACUUUGGCACGGCGCUCUAAACUGCUAAACCUGAGUGAGAUAGGGGUGUACGGAACUUCCGGUGGAGCGGUGAAAUGCGUUUGAUAUCGGAAGGAACACCGGUGGCGAAAGCGGUACACUGGGUCUUAACUGACGCUGAGGCACGAAAGCCAGGGUAGCGAACGGGAUUAGAUACCCCU
rnacentral:rRNA from 1 species